rnacentral:lncRNA from 1 species
GGGAAAUGUAAUGAAUUUGGUAUUGGACAGAUGGAUUUGAAAUGUCUCUGGAAAGAAUUGUCAGAGAUAUUGUGUAGCAUCUGCAUAUAAGAAAAUGAAUAAUUUCUGAAUUCCUGUUGUAGGAGGUGAAAACGGAAAACACAAAGUGAUGGAGGCUUUCCAGCAAGCGGGUAUGGCGUGGAAGCCUGGGGCACACCAACCCAUGAGGCUAGUCAAAGGAAGUGAAGAAGGGAAGACCGCAACAAGGGCAGGAGACAGGAGUCACAAGUACAUUUCCUGGAAUCCAAGGCCUAAGUGUGCUUUAGCAGUAAGGGAGCCACCACCAGAGUUGGAAUUCCUCAGGAGGUUUAUCUCAAAGCCGUUUUCUCUUUAUUUAUGGCUUGACUCUGUGUCAAGUCAACUUCCAGGUACCAACAUAGUCAAGAGGACAGUGAAACCUGCUGAGACUGGAAAGGCAAUUGGCUGUCUCCAGAGCUCCAUGUGAUUACUAGAAUGGCCAUGUCAUUGAGGGGGAAGGAGAAAUGUGCUGCUCCUUGGAGUUCCAUAACAGAGCCAAGCUGAGGCCUCUGCUAGUUACUUGUCAUGUGAUCCUGGAGAAACGCCUUACAUUUUUUUAUGUCUCAGUUUCUUGAUCUGUGCAAUAACCGUAUGUCCCAUAUAUCCAAAAUUAAAAAAUAAUAAAAAUGCCCAUCAGAGCUUCUUAUAUCAUGGGACAACCUACACUACCCACUGUACUGGUGCUUGGGACACCCGGAGCAAAGGAACUUGGCCUUGUCUGUAUUGUUGGGCUUCUG